rnacentral:misc_RNA from 1 species
AUGAAUUGUCAAGGGGGGGUUGUUGCUGGCCUCUCAUCUGAUAAGCAUGUGCACGCCCCCUUUUUACAUCCAUCCACACCUGUGCACCCUCUGUAGUUCCAAAGUGGGAGAGCCCGUAAGGCUUUCAGCAAUCUGGCACUAUGUCUCUUUACAAACGCUUUAUGUAUAGAGUGUCGGCUCAGCGUAUAACAAACGCAGAAAUAUAAAA